rnacentral:ribozyme from 1 species
GAAAUAAUAUAUUAAGAAAAUUAAAAAAAAAAAAAAAAAAAAAAAAAAAAAAAUCGUAAAAAGGAAGUGCAAGUUUUUUUUUUUUUCCAUAGUAACUUUACUUGGUUUUUU